ACCUAAUGUCUCAAACUUAAUUUUCCCAAAUUACAUGACCAGUUCCUCACACCAAAAAUUUUAGUGCCUGAACCAAAACCCUUAGUGUCUAAACCAAAAUCCUUAGUUCCUAAACCAAAACCCUUCUCAAUCCUUUCUCAAUCGCAUUUGUACCGUUCUCCUCCGUCUCAUCUUUGCUUUGUCUUUGUCUCCUUGCCUCUCGUCUAAACCCAAAACCCUUCUCAAUCGCAUAUGUCUUUGUUUAUGCACCUCUCGUCUGUAUCCUUGCAUCUAUACCGUUCGUCUUCGUCUUCAUCUUCGUCUCGCCUCAACCAAAACCUUUUUCGCCUUCGUCUUGCACGACGCCGUCUUGUGCUCUGACUUCUCUCGCCGUCUUGUGCUCCGACAAUUCUCGCCAUCUUGUGCUCUGACAGCUCGUGUUUGACUUAACCCUCACUAGAAGGUCGCAAACAUAGUGAUGGAUAAAAAGUGGACUACACUUCAUAUACUUAAUUCAGAGUAUCAGAAAGGUGUAAAAUCUCUUUUAGAUUUUGCCUUCACCAAAGGAGAACCUCAAUGCCGCACAAUUUUAUGCCUUGUGCCAAGUGUAUAAAUCGUUGUUGGAGAAGAAGAAAAGUGCGGCACUCCAUUCUUCUACAUCAACCCAUGUUCCUGAAAAAGCAUAAGUAUAUUAGUUUGAUUUACUUAACUAUGAGAUAAUUAAGUUGAUUUAUUGCUAUGAUUGAGUAUCUUGUAGACUUAUAAAUUGUUGGUCUUUAGUGAAAAAGCAUAAGUAUAUUAGUUUGAUUUACUUAA